rnacentral:lncRNA from 1 species
CCUGCAUCAUGCCCAUCUUUGCCUGAGAUUUUAAUCAGUAGAGAAAUGAAAGAUUGAGUAACAAACCGUGACCUGUAUUAGUGAUAAAGGCUAUGUUAAUGGAUAUAGCUUGGGGUGGUAGCCAAACAGUAUUUCUGAUUUCCCAUCCAGAUCUUGGAAAAACUAUCCAAAGGAAAGUUUGAAUCUGCAGAGCAAACACCAUUAACCAAGCCCCCAGCUUCCACUGAAGCAAGUGGAGAAAGAAGGAGAAAGAGAAAAUUCCCUGUGUGCGGGAUCUUUGGUAGAUUAGCUCCACAUGAUCAAGAAUUGUGGAACAGGAGCUGUUGCUACUGACCAGCUUCCCUGUGAGACCCAGUUUCCAGCACUCUGGACCAGCACCAAGGUGGCCUCUGUAGGGUGGACACGGCAUCCACUGUCUCCUGCGAGCCACACUGGCUACUCCACUGCCUGCUGCUGGAGUAUUAUCUCGUUCUGUAACCCCAGCCUCUGCGGAAGGUCUCUCCUUCAUGCCCACGUUUGUUCAGCUGGAGCAUUGCCCCUAGCACUUUGAGGAACUGGAGCUGUUCUCAUUGCUUCUGAAGAUUGCAUCCCUGGGAGCUUGGUGACUCCCAGUACCUCUGCCAAGUGCUUCUCAGGGCACUGUCUUUCUGCUUUUCUUCUUUUUUUUCUUAAACUCAUUUUUUACUAGAAAAUUUCAAACAUAUACAAAAGUAGACAGAUUAGUAUAAUGAAUCCCUCAUCUACACAUUACAGAGUUUCAACAACUAUUAACUCAUGCAUGAUUUUGUUUUCCUCGACUUUUGAAUAUUUCAGGCCUGAGGAGCCUUUCUUUCUGUUGCAUCUUUCUCUGCAAUGCUGGAAUAUGUCUUCAUUGUUUCCUGUUCGUCUGCUCUUCCCCUCCUCCUCUGGCAAAGCUCAUUUGCGCUUCUAACAAUUGAACCCUUUUCUUCUCUAAUACACACAAGACUAGAGUUGUUGGCUGGGAGAGAACACCUUUCUUCCUUGUACUUUUUCUUUGCUUUUAAUCCCACACUUUUGUUUUUCUAGUCUAUUCCUUUAGACUCUGUUAGAUGGGGUUUCCCAUAGUGAAAGCUAUGGCAUGAAUAAAUUCCAGAUGUGUUAAAAGCA